rnacentral:lncRNA from 1 species
CAAAACCUCUGUUUAUUCAUUAAGCAUUAACCACUUUAUGCCAAAAACAGAGAGGAGGCUUGGCAGUGGACUUUCAGCUGACUUUUCGCCGGGUAUAAAUGUUGCCCAAGGAACACGGCAACAGUAGGUCUGUCUGGGACAAAGCAGACCACAGGGCAGCCUGCCGUGGCAUGCGCAGGCUGAGGUGCCGUUCUUUUGUGUGCCGGGAGAAGCAGAACCUUUUAAUGAGCGUUUGGCUUUUAUUUGGAAAGGUGGUUGCCCUCUUGUGCAGUGAGGCGCGGAAGCUGAGGCAACAGGGAUUCUCUAUGAGCCAAGGAGCAUGUGUGCAUGUGGCGGAUCACAGAUCAAUGCAAACAAAUUCCCGUCGGUUCCGAUCAAGGGUAAGAGAUCAAUGGAACAACAAAAAUGACGUUUAGGUGGGACAAAGCAUUUCAAAAGACUGCUCCCAAACCAAGUUUGUCAAGUCUGAAUUCCAGUGCAGAGAUCUGGCAGCUGGAAUGUGUGGCCCCUGGGGACAGCAAGACCACCACGACUUGCCGACUCCCCCUAAGCGCUACUCACGGGAGAAGUUAACAGGAGGCAUAAAACCAAUUACAACUGCUGUAACAUCAAAGGCAAUUUGGAGACUAGUUUAACCCUUGAGAAGAGCUCCUCAGAAGUCACAGGUUUUUAAAGCUUCAACUUGGAGACACCUGGUGCAUCUGGAUACCGUUUUUUCGUUUUUUUUUUUUUUUUUUGUAUCUGAGUAGAGGAGAGCUGUCCAAAUCUGUCCUGGGCAAGGGCUUGAUGGGGGUGAGGGUGUAUGGGGGCAAAGUUAGGAAAGUGGAAGGGAUGGCAGUUAUGAGAGCCCCUCCUAUGUAGUACAUACACUGUCUGUUUUUAAAAGUUGGGGAGAUAGACUCAGAGAGAUGAAGACACUUGACCCAAGCCCCACCCAGGUGUGUCUGGCUGUAAAGCCCUCUCUUCUCCCUCAGACUGCCUUCCUGGUGAGGUAAGACAACACCGUUCCUAGCACAGAGAAUGACCGUGAGGGCUGUCAGGUUGUCACAGCUGUUUCGUGGCAGCUGGUGACUUCCGUUUCCUGGUCUCUUCCCAAGGAAUUUUCUCAUCUUUCUCAUUCUCUCUGUCAAGGGAGGAAAAAGGUGAUGUGCUGUGAGCAGCCCUUUCUACAAAUGCUAUUUUGCAGGCAGGGAAAAUCCUGCCUACCCUUCUCAGCCCCAGCCUCCUGAUAAGAGGAGUCCUAGGUUACUAAAUUUGGGCUGGCAUCCUCUCUCUGGCAGACGGGCAUUUGUUGCCAGUUCCAGGGUCAGAGUUUGAGUGAGGAGAGACAAUCUAUCUCAGAAAUGACAAUCUGACCUCCCUGGCUGUGGGUCCUGUCUUUUCUGGACCGGGAAUUCUCGGCUUUCAUCCGAUUUCAAGCAGCUUGCAGCAUCAGCAUCCCCUUUUAUUUCCCGUGAUUCCUCUUGGAAUCACCUUCCUCUCAAAUAAUGUGGAGAGGCUCUCUCCAACCCGUUGCUAGUAUCUGCGGGGCCAGGUGAAGAGGAAGGUGGAGGGAGGACCUUUCACUCAUUCUCUCACAUACAAAGGAAUGCUUCAAAAUAUUCAUUCACCUGUUUAUUUGGCAUUCAUUGAUUCUUCUGGAAUCAGAGAUAGGUAACCUGUGACUGUGUAAUUUUUUAUUUUUAGGAGGAGGCUUGAGAAACCCCACUCUGCUAUCAGUCACUGGCUAGAAUCGUACCAUGGGAAUUAUUUUUAGAACCAAGCAGCUACAUAAUUUGGAAAGGGGAAGUCACUCCCAAGACAGAGCAACCAACCCUUUCAUUUUACAAAUGAGGAAACUGAGGCUCCCAGAGCCGAAGAGACUUGCCCAAGGUCACACGACUAAUCAGUGGCAGAAUCCGGACUCAACCACACGUCUCCUGACAGAAGUGGCACAGGUUCUCCUGUGCUGUACUGCCUUCCUCUCUGGGCUUCUCUAAAUCAGGGACAGCUAGAAGUGUAGCUUUGAAAUCAAACAGGAGACUCUACAUGUACAGAAUUUUAUGUGGAAAGAAUGGAAUCUGCAGGGAAGAAGAAAAUGCCAUAGAAAGAAGAGAAUAAACCAAAGUGGGAGAAAGAGAAUAAAAAAAAUAAAUGAAAACAGACAGGAUAUUCCAACCAUGAUGGUCAAGGAGCCAUUCUCAAGACAAGAUGCCACAUUCAUUACCAGGGUCUUCAAGGGUUUAACACCUAUGGGGGCCCCAUAAGGUAAACAAAAACCACAGCGGUUACUCCACUUCCCAGCUCUUACAUCUCCAUGGCACCGAGCAUCAGCGUAUUCGUAAAAAGCCCAAUUAAUUGUCCAUGAGCAUUCCUGAUACUUCCUGCAAAUACACUAGGUCUCUAAAACAAAGUAAAUACACACUUGGUUCAGACAGGUUUCUUUUUCUUUGCAAAAUGACACCUCAGCGACAUAAAAGUUAGUCCUGAUGCACAGGAGAAGGGAGGCAAAAUAAACACAAGCCCAGCAUUUCUUUGAGGAUGGUGGAGUGGAGCGUUACUAAACACACAGAGAACCUUCCGAAGCUGAGGCCAAAACAUUCGAUUUAGCAGUUUGCUUCUGGGGUUUGAUGUGACCGGGGGGCCACUGAUGUGUAUUCUGAGCUCUCAGGUCAAAGGUCCAUAUCGUGCCUUUGAAAGGCCUCCUUCAAAGACCCUCUCAAAAACAAAUCAACAAAGCCCAUUGCCUACCCUGCAACAUGCACGCUAUCACUCGGGAGGCAUCUGCAAAAAGGGCUUUGGAAAUGUGAGCAGAGAGAACCCAGCAGUUGGAGGAUGCCUGAGAGCUCUCUUUCAAUUUUUCCUGGGCCAUAAGAAGUGUAUUUCCCACAGCUGCUGAAUCUUUGCUUCUUAUCAUGCAACAUAACUUACCCCAGUGCCUAGCGCAGUGCCAGCCACUUCACAGAUGGUCACCAAUGGUUGCAGAAUGAGUCCUUCUAGGAAAAGGUGUCAGGGCUGAGCCCAAGCCGUAUGGAAUAAAGCUCUAAGCCAUAUCGUCAUGACUGUGGCCCUGUGGCCCUUCUAGUGACGACAAUAAAGACUGAGCCCUCCUGCUGUGACUGUACAGGGCUAAGCACCUUCCCUGCUUCUUGUCUUUCUGAGACACAGACCUCUAUCAGGGAGCCCUUGGGAAGGAGACUUGAAAUAAAACAAGAUUUCUAUGGGUCCAGGAUGAAGAUGGGGAACGGGAAGGCAAGAAAUUUUGGGAAGGCUGGCUAUUUUUUUGGAGGCCACUUUUAUUGUCUUCUACUUUAUACAGGAUACUCAGUUUGAUUUACACUCCCCUGUCUCUGAAUAAGCCAAGAAGCCCCAAAAUGUUUCAUGAUAUUAAAUUAACUGCUCUAAUUUCCCCAGGAAGCUCGAAUUUCGGCAAACAAUAUGAGUGCUAAAAUGAUACCAGAGUCCAUUUAGAGAGGAAUCCUCCGACAAGCACUAAAUGCAGACUCCCCGAGAGCAGCUUUCUGACUACUGUAUUUUUAUACUCUGAGAAUAUAAACAAGGCAGAAAGGAAAGCCAGCGUGAGUGAGGACUUAAAAUAAUCUCCGCAAACGGCAGACUGGGAGAUAGCACUUUUGAAAGAAUUCCCAUUAGUAAGCAUAAUAUACUCCUAUUAUCACAGUUCAUCUCUUUCAAUUACAAUGUGAAAUUUCGUAAUUGAAGCAGGAUUAGAAAUGUUUUUGUGCUUCAGAAAUUAAAGCAGCCUAUCUAAAUCCUUUACAAAGGGUUAAAAAACUGACUACAAUUUAAAAAGCUUCUAACUAUCUCCCAACAGUAACCAAAAAAAGAAGAAAGAGAUAAAGAAAGAAGGAAAAGAAAAAGAAUUUUUUUUAAAUUCAGGAUUUCAAUGAUGCAUUUAAGUCCCCAUGAAGAAUACCUUGAAAAUAGAUAUCUUCAGAAAUAGGCUUUGGGUAUCUGGAAGAAAAGUCGAAUUCCAAACUAGGUAUCUACAUGCAAGGUCUGCACAUCAGGGGAUACCCAUCCAGUUGUUCAUUCCUCAUCCAGAUGUUCUGGGGGCCCAGCAUCUCAUCAGGUGGAUGGUUAAACUUAGCCUGAGGGCACUGUCCCUCCAGAGGCCCCAAAUCCAGCAGCAGCGUUCUGCUCUGAGCUUCUGUUCAUGUUCCUCCUCAUGCUAAAUGGGAGAAGUAGCUAAGGCUCAGCACCCUUUAGAGUUUAACAAUUUGCUAAUUUCUGAAUAAAUCUAUCCCUACCAAAUGUGCCAAAUAAGUGUGGGGACUUCUGCAUGAAAUUCACAAGGGAAGCCUUACUAGAAACCCAAAGCAAGUCAACAGUCAUGAAAUCCAACAAGGAAUUAACCCAUAAGAGUAACAUAGUACUAUUAGAUGUUCACACUGUCUUAGGUACUCAGGAUGAAGAAUAAAGUAUAAGACACGCUUUGAAAAUAUUUGGAAGAAAGUUGCCACCUCUGGUUUUCACAGCUGAAUUAUACUGAAAGGUUUAAGGGAAUUUAAACACCUAAACUAUAAUAAUUUGAAUUAGUUUUUGAUGAAAUAUAUAUAUGUUCAUCAAUGUACAUAUUUGAAGUAUUCUUUUUCUAGACGGAGGAGAAAUAGAAUAUUGUAACUGUAAAAAGAAAACCAGGGGAAUCCCUGCUUUCAUGAACCAAGGCAGAAGACAAAAUGUGAAGCAGCCUUGACAUGCUAUUUCUUUCCUCCCUAUUAUCCAAUUGUCCUUUAAGCAGAGAAUAGGAAAUCUAGAAGCGCUUUUGAAGGUUGUUUUUUUUUAUGACAGUUUAACAUUCUAAAAAAUCAUUAUUGAAGAACAAAUUAUAGAAGCAUUUGUCUGCUGCUAGCUGGGGUCUUUGAAAAAAAUAAAGCUCAAGGUUAUUUUAACUGACAAAAGGAAAAAAAUUAUCUUCAAAAGAAACGCAUAUACUUCAUAUAACUGAGUACUGGUUACACUUCCUCAGAGAAAUCAAACACUUGAUCUAAGCCACAAUCUGCUAAUGAAUUGUCACUGCUUCUCAUCAUUUGAGGGCUACUGUAAUUCUACAUUAAAACAACAUCUCAAAUGAGCAAAAGGAGGUGAAUCUAUCAUUUUGCUCAUUUUGUACACUUGCCCACCAGACCCUAGAAUACAUAUAGAUAUGUUUACUGAUUCAUGAAUUAUUUAAGUAUCCACAAAGACCCCUGUCUAUAAAACUGACAACUCUUAUGCCUAUUUUUCCUACAUAUGUAGUUACAUGUAAUAUUGUGUCCAUGUAAAUACAAAUAUAUAUAACUGGUAAAGCAAUUGUUG